rnacentral:misc_RNA from 1 species
AUGAAGAACGCAGCGAAAUGCGAUAAGUAAUGCGAAUUGCAGAAUUCCAGUGAGUCAUCGAAUCUUUGAACGCACAUUGCGCCCUUUGGUAUUCCGAAGGGCAUGCCUGUUCGAGCGUCAUUAUCACCCCUCAAGCCCUCGGCUUGGUGUUGGACGGUUUGGUGGAGGCCCCCUCGGGGGCUCCUGCCCCUCCCAAAGACAAUGACGGCGGCCUCGUUGGACCCCCGGUACACUGAGUUCUUCACGGGACACGUAUCGGACACAUGGGUUUACGGGACACGGUCUGCCUCCCCUCAGGGAGAAUCUUUCUAAGGUUGACCUCGGAUCAGGUAGGGAUACCCGCUGAACUUAAGCAUAUCAAUAAGCGGAGGA